AACGUAGGAGACAAACGUUAUCCGGAGUUACUGGGCGUAAAGGGCGUGUAGGCGGUUAGUUAAGUCUGGCGUGAAAGCUCUCGGCUAAACCGGGAGAGGUCGUCGGAUACUGGCAAACUAGAGGACGGUAGAGGCGUGUGGAAUUCCGGGUGUAGUGGUGAAAUGCGUAGAGAUCCGGAGGAACACCAGUGGCGAAGGCGGCCAUCUGGGACAACACUGACGCUGAAGCACGAAAGCGUGGGGAGCAAACAGG
rnacentral:rRNA from 1 species